rnacentral:rRNA from 1 species
GACGAGGGGUCCAAGCGUUGUUCGGAAUCAUUGGGCGUAAAGCGGGUGUAGGCGGCUCUAUAAGUCAGGAGUGAAAGCCCCGAGCUUAACUUGGGAAGUGCUUUUGAUACUGCAGAGCUUGAAUGUGGGAGAGGUUAGUGGAAUUCCAGGUGUAGUGGUGAAAUACGUAGAUAUCUGGAGGAACACCGGUGGGCGAAGGCGGCUAACUGGCCCAACAUUGGACGGCUGAGAC